CUGAGGCUGUCGUAAGGCGGCCUGAUCGCCGCGCAGAAGUCAGCAGAGGGCAUAGUAGGCGGUCGCGCGCCGCCGAAGGCC
rnacentral:ncRNA from 2 species